UUAAGUUCAGCGGGUAUUCCUACCUGAUCCGAGGUCAACCUUUGAGAAGUGGGGGGUUUUACGGCCGGUCACCCGUCGCGUGCCCUGAGCGUGGUAAGUUUACUGCACUCGGUACGACGACGAGCCCGCCACUGGGUUUGGGAGCCUGCGGCAGCCGCAGGGCUCCAACACAAGCGCAGGGGCUUGAUGGUUGAAAUGAC
rnacentral:misc_RNA from 1 species